GACAGAGGAGGCAAGCGUUGUUCGGAAUCACUGGGCUUAAAGCGCGUGUAGGCGGCUCAGAAAGUGUCGUGUGAAAUCCCGCGGCUCAACCGCGGAACUGCACGGCAAACUACUUGGCUUGAGGUCGGUAGAGGUGCCUGGAACUCUAGGUGGAGCGGUGAAAUGCGUAGAUAUCUAGAGGAACGCCAGAAGCGAAAGCGGGGCACUGGGCCGAUUCUGACGCUGAGACGCGAAAGCGUGGGGAGCAAACAGG
rnacentral:rRNA from 1 species